GAGAGGAGGAUGUGAGUAUCUGCAGCAGGUGCAGAGCGCAGAGCAUGCAGCAGUGGUGGUGGGGAAGAAGCAGCAGCGGAUGAUGCCGUGUCAGCCUCCUCCCCUCGAACUGGAAUGGAGCAACUCAGAAGUAGGUCCUAUGCGCCGUUGAAACGAAUUCGACCUUAAAACCGUAGAUGAAGUCCUAUCCUCAAACCCUUCACUUCAGGCUGGCGGGCUAUAAAAUGUUGGGGGCAGAUUCGCUCCACUACUGGUUGUAGCAGUGUUUCAAAAGUCGCGAGGCACAAAAAGGCCCAAAGGCCUUCUUGUGCCUAGGCACGUGGCGCACUACGAGUGCUGAAAGUAUCUGUGAGAGAAGACAGUGCUGUUGAUUCUGUUUUGAAUAUUCGGCUUUAUGGCCCAAAUACAGACUUUGUGAUCGAUCGCAAGAGAGAGUUGAAGCCUUUUCUUCUACUCUGCCACUAUUACUUAUUUUACCAAAGACUCGAUACAAUCUCAAGUUGAUAUAUUGGCUCAUCUGUGCUUUUGUUUCUCUGGAAAUUCUUGGAAAGCUUACAGCAAUGGCCGUUCCUUACAACACUAAGGUUUCCUAUGUCUUCCUCCUUGCACUAGGUUCUUUGUUGCUUUUCGUAGUUGUGUCCUUUAUCUGCUUGCCCCCCCCGUUUUUUUUUUUUGGGCCUUUGCCUACUCCUCUUUUGCCCCAUUGCUAUGAUGCCCUUCCCCUUUAAUGUCUGGUGAUUGUGCUAAUUGAAAGGAGGCUUAUUGUUUUUUGGGUCUUUGCUUACUCCUCUUUUGGCCCAUUACUAUGAUGCCCUUCCACUUGAAUACGUCUGGUGGUUGCGAUAAUUGAAAGGACCUGGCCUUCUUGGCUAAUUGUGAGCGUGCUUGGAUGGCCUACUACAUAGGCAAGGUUGCUCUCAUUGUGCUGAGAAUAGUUGCGGUGUACAUAUAGGUUGCACUUAGAUGUCAUUAUUAAUCAAGAAGUCUGCUGUGCAAGCUAAUUAUGUUUGAUGGCCGGGGGGGGGGGGGGGGGGGGGUGGGUGGGGUCUGAGCAUAUUAUAUUUGUUUAUUUCCAUCCUUAUUCAUGUAUACUAUUUUGUGUGAUUUCACAGAGUUAUUAAUAUAGAGUUUUACAUCUUAUUUCGAUGCAUCGUCAUUUUAUAGUCCGGUUGGGGAUUUGGAUUCUCAUUCAUGUAUAGUUUUUGGCGCAAUUAUCACAAGUUGAUUUAAUAUAAAGCUUUACAUCUUUCUUCCGAGUAUUCGUUUUAUAGGCCGGUCGAGGAUUUGGGUACUCUACUCAUUAGUUGCUUUGGUUCAGCAUAUGCCUGCUGAAUCUUCCACCCAUAGAUACUAUAAUAAAUUUGUUUCCCCUUUUAAAAUGCGCGUUUGGUAAAAAACUCUUUGCUGCAAUUUUUUUCCCUUUUUUUGCUGGUUUCUCACUUCGUUUCCCUUUCUUUUUUGAUUUCCCCUUAAGACUACUUUGUGGAGCUUUUGCUUAAUUUCUAUGGUAUCAAUUUUCUGUUUUCCCUAAGAUGUUUUCCUUGGAAAUGUAUUUAUGUUAACCAAUUUAGGUUUAUUGUAUAGAAAUUAUUGUUUUAUGAAAAGAAUGGAACUGUUCUGCUUCGAUGGAUUGUUAUUUUACUAAUAUUGCUUGGCUUCAUUUAUUCCUUGCUGUUCCUUUCAAAUGCCCUGUUUAUGCAAAAAAUCUAUGAUGAUAUGGAAGUUUGGGCAGUCUACUCAUAGGCAGCCGCUUCUGACUGUUCUUAUUACGAGUAGUUGCACACAUUUCCCUCCGAUCGUAAUGUACUACUUGGUAACCACUUCUUGCUGUCCUUAUCUUUUGGGUGCACUUUUUAAAAGAUUGUUUGUAAAUAGCCGAAUAUAUUCCAUUCACUACUAAGCCAAAUUAUUGCUAAAACUCUAUAUUUUCAAAAGGUUUAUUCCUAACUCCAUUCAUCUGGGCUAUUUGGUUGGGUUAUUUGGUUGGUUUCUUGCGCUGCAUCGUUUUUUGCAUAAACAAAUAAAUAAAUCUAGAAAGAAAAAAACGCAAAAAACAAACUAAAGAUCAGUUGGAAAAUAAAAAAAUAUAAACAAAUAAAUAAAUCUAGAAAAGGAAACAGCAAAAAAAACCUAAAGAUAACUUGAAAAAUAAAAUAGAUCAAAAAACUAUAAGACCAAUAUGGAUUUGCUGAUAGUGCAUGAUUUUAGAUCAAAGAGACUAUAUAUGCAAUGAGACUGGUUCGAUGUGAUGUCUUCUGGUGCUAUAAGAAAUUAUUAACCAUGCUGGUUGCAUUUAGUCGCUUGAAAAUAAAAUAGAUAAAAAAACUAUAAGCCCAAUAUGAAUUUGCUGAUAGUGCAUGAUUUUAGAUCAAAGAGACUAUAUAUGCAACGAGACUGGUUGGUUGUGAUGUCUUCUGGUGCUAUAAGAUAAAUUAUUAACCAUGCUGGUUGCAUUUAGAAAUUCAUACAACCAAAGGAUAGUUUAAUUUAAAGUUUUAGUUUCAUCAAAGGGAAAUCUUUUGCACAUUCGAAAACUUUUCUUAUGGAUUUUUUCACAUGCCAAGUUUGCAUCUUUAGAAAUUCAAGUCUCUUUUUCCCAUUCUUUACUUGCACAAGUUUUGACAUUGAGUCACUUCAUGUUUACUCAGUAGCCAAAUAUGAUCAUCAGAUAUUUUAUUUCUGAUUGGUUGCAGCAUAAUUUCUUAGAAAUUUUUUUUACAGAUUCUUUGUGAGAAAAUGCUGAAAAUGAUGGCUUUGAAUAUUUAAUCCUUUACAUAAGAUAGAUGAUAAAUUGCACGUAUCUUCAUGCAAACGAAGCUGAAGAAUUGCUUGAGUGCAUUUACAUAAGAUAGAUGACAAAUUGCAUAUGUUGUUUCCUAAAAUUUAUUAUGCUUCAAGUUUCACUCCUCUUUGCUUGCUUUAAUUUAAAUUUUUAGAGUUAUUUGGUGCAUUUUCCUUUAACCCGAGUCUUUAUGAACAUUACUUAAUCAACCAAGAACAUGCAGUAUCACAAAAAGUAUAGAUGUUUCGCAGAUUGGCAUCUCCCAAAAAGCUUCAUGGUAUCUUGCAAUAUUUGAAACUUGGUUUUUCGAUUCCUUGGUGUUUCUGUCCAUUUUCUAGCUCUUCUUUGAGGCGAUGAUGAUGAGUAGGUGAAAGUGUGAAAAAUAUUGGCUUGGAGCAAGCGGAAGUUUGGACGGCCUGCUCAUAGGCAACCACUUCCUAUUGUUCUUAUACUUCGUGGCUACUACUCAUGUCCUUAUUUCUAGGGGAACUGUGGCUAUGCGUAUUCGGCUAUGGUUACAAGGUUAUGAAGAUUGUACUCUCUAGUGGUGCAUAAUGAGUGCAUUUAUGGAAAUAUAGAUGAUUACAAAAACACUGGUGUUUAAUUAGAUGGUUAAUUAUGUUAUACUUGGAUAUGUCAAUAACCUCUUAAUUAUUUAUUAUUAUGUUAUGUUGAUUUCGUUUCA